UCGAGUGGCGAACGGGUGAGUAACACGUGAGUGAUCUGCCCCCAACUUGGGUAUAAGCCUGGGAAACUGGGUCUAAUUCCCGAUAGGACUGCAGGGUGGUGCCUGUGGUGGAAAACGAUUUUCUAGUGGUUGGGGAUGAGCUCGCGGCCUAUCAGCUUGUUGGUGGGGUAAUGGCCUACCAAGGCGGCGACGGGUAGCCGGCCUGAGAGGGUGGACGGCCACAUUGGGACUGAGAUACGGCCCAGACUCC
rnacentral:rRNA from 1 species